GUCCGACCGGGAUCAAGAUUACUCCGAACGCAUCAGCGACUGCAGUGAAGCCCUUUAGUCAGGGCAGAACCAAUUGUCCUAGGGCGCACUUUAGAAGCAACCGAAGACUUAGUGAACGGACCUAGCUCCGUCAGAGAUUCCAUGGUAACGAUAGGCCACGCCUGAGGAUAAAGGCUACUGCAAGCUUUGUUUCCUCCUCAAACUGCGAGAGAUGAAGAGAAAAUCUGACUGCACACGUCUGUAAUCCCAACGUUUGUGAGAUGAAGGCAGCAGAAUCAGGAAUUCGAGGCCAGACUUGAGACCCUGUCUCAAGAAAAAUAACAAAAGUGAAAAUACGAACCAUCUUUCAGUUGUAUUUUCAUGGAUUGUUCCCUAAUGAGGACAGCUUCCUUCCUCCACCACCCCAUGACGUCAUGUGUUCUCGAGUGUGCGUUUGCUGCGAGUCCACCCCAAACGUCUCACAACAAUCCAUACUUGUCACCGUCGCAGUCUUCCCGCUGCACCUCUAAGUCCUCCCUUGAACAUUUUCUGUAACAGCUGCUCUUGGAACACAAGCAAGAGAGAAAUCUGCUGCUACAGAGUGUGCAUCGCUGAACCUACAGAGUUACUCCACUGAAGAGAGAUAUAGUCCCCGGAUCUAAUGCUCCUGCGUACAAUACCCCAAGUGGUUCCUCCAACUCAGAGGCCCUCACCAGAGCCUUAUCAACGUCAGUGCCAGAGCAUAAAAAUGUACAGCCUUGAGAAUGGCGCCACCAAAUGGUACAAACCGGAGAUGUCCUGCAGUUAAUGGAGCCUGGGCUCUAGCCUCCCUAACAAGCUACCUGUCCUCCAUGACACAAAAAAAAGACAACAGUGAAAGAGAUGUCGGCAAUGAGGCUGCACUAGGAAGAAGAAUAAAGGGGCCUGUCUUAGUAACCCGCCACGUCUAUCGUUGGGGUCCUGACAUGAGGUUUAAAUAGAAGGCUCAAGCUGUGAUCCUGCCCAUGGUAACCAUCUUGAUCCGUCCUGCAAAGGGAACUGACAAGGUAUCAGAAAUAGCAAGCAAGCUCUCCUGCUGGUUUACACCGGGCACCCCAGUCUUUUCCUUCUCCAGCGAGACUCUUGAGGAAAUUCUAGCUCUUUGGGACCCAUUAUCCUGUUAGUCCAAUACUCAAAAGGAGGGGCACAUCUGUCUCUCCUUGGAAUAGCUUCACUCCUCUCAGGAUGAUCACACUGCUUCAACUGAGACAUCCGUGUGGCCAAACUUUAUUACAGAGCCUAAACCAGUCAUUUAUGCACUAAUACGGUAUCUCCUAGUUCUCUCCCCUGGUAACCCACCCUUAUGUGCUCUUAGUUCCUUACUGAGCCCUGUCCUGCACAACUCCUUUGAUAAAAAAUGAAAAAUGUCUUCAUCUACAGUUCUGGGGAAAAUGAGACUCCCAGAGGUAAACCACCUUCAUUUACCCUAGUUGCUACCAAAAUAUCCACCUGCAACCAAAGACUUACUUUUCCUGUCCUGGAAAGAAACGUUUUGUCCUCUCAAGAUAAUUCUGUUCCCUGAAUGGAGGCAUCAUCCUUUUAAUCCACUUAGAGACUCACCCACUUUUUUUUUUUAAAUUAAUUCAACUCCUCAUUCUUUCUCCUCAAUAAAAUAAGUCUGUCAUUUCA